GCUAGGUUUCAGUCGUGAGCCAUGUGGAACACGUCUGCAUCGAAAUGGGAGCCGGGUCCUGCUGCGACUGGGAACAGCAAUACCGGUGAGUCGUUUAACAUCACUGCUUCAAUCGCUAUGUAAUUUAUUCGUCUCGUUAACUCACAGGCGGAGGUAAGUUAACGAACUACAUGCUGCAUUACAUAAGGGCAGUCAGGACCCUCCGUUGCUGUUUCCGAAAUAAACUUUCAGUUGCGAGGCCAUCAUUAUGCACACAUUCACGAAAGAGAAACGAUAUCGGAACGCGCGUCACAUUUUUCAUCUCGUUUUAGCCGUAGCCAUAAGUGACUGAGUUGCCUUAUCAAUAAAUUUUUUUUUCGAGUCCGCCGGCAACUUCUUUCGUUCACAGAACCGAAUAACCUUUUGAUAAACUGAAGCUUGAAUUUAAUGUAUUAAACAGUUGCACACAUGAUAAUUCACCCAUAUUUCGUACCUGUUGGUUCCAAAUGUUCUUGCUGUUCAGUUUGGCUUACCUCAGGACAUCUAUUUUUGCAGUAGUGAAGCGGUGCAUCACGUUCAUGCACAAAAAGAAUGCAUCAAUUCUAAUAGCUUCACGUCUUUCAUCUAUUUGCUUGUGAAAUCAGCAGUGUGAUCUCUUCUAGUGUAUAAACGAGCGCACAAAUGUUCUUAUUUGUGAUCUUAAUAAUACUUAAGCUGUUGACAUGCAUUGUAGUUACGCAGACAUCGAUUUUACGGAGAGUAACCAUAUUUAUUUACCAUGCUGCUUAAGCGCCCUAGAACAAACAGUGUACAUUUGCAUGUGUUCUGUAGUCACAAACCAUUGCAAUGUAUAUGUCGCACCUUUUCGCAUUUUAUAUUGCAAAAUUGUGCUUAUUCAAUUUCUGAUGCAGUCAAAAUUUCUGUUCCAGACAUGCAGUAAUGAGGAUGGCACCAGUAUAAAGCAACACACUCCAUGCACUAAACAGAAGCUGCUGCCUGCUACAACAAGGUCAUUGUGUGGACUUUGGCUGCUACUACAAGAGUCUGUGCCAAGUACAUCUUGGUCAUCACGGGAGCCCCCAUCUACACCAACAGGAAGGGGCUGGAGCUGAAUUCACAAGACCACGAACAAAGAAGCCAUUCCAGAAUUAUUUGGAUGAGAUAUCAAGUCUACGGACGACUGUUUCAAGAGUGAAAAGAGCCUACGCCAUCAUUCCACCAGCACGGAUAUUGGCCGAGUCAUCCAGGUACCUCAACAACAAAAAUUAUUUGUCUUCAGAUGUACCUGCAACCUCUGAACAAGCACAGACGACGCUGGCUAAGAGUGUUCUGUCAGCUUGCCCUUCCUUAGGGAGCUCCCUGGCCUUGCCAAUUCUUGCCAAGUAUAAUUUUGUUUCAAUGAAUGCACGCUUCUUCAUUCCACACUUUUGUUAGAGAUCAUUCCUAUUCCUCAUACAAACAUUAAAGGUCAACCGAUUCUUUGCUCAUA